UCUUCUCAAGGGCAACAAGUCUACUAAACUACAAUGGUACUGUGAAGAUUAGCUUGGCCCCUGUGCCAGGAUAACAUGCAAAUUCCUGAAGCAUUCCAUAUUUUU